CGGCAGCGCCAGGAGGAGCUUCAGGGGCUUCAUGGGCCCCUCGAUAUUCGCAGAAUCCGCACGUGGGCGCAUCCCGUUCCUGCGGU
rnacentral:tRNA from 1 species